rnacentral:lncRNA from 1 species
UUACUUUUCGGAAACCCCACACAUAUACCGCACGAACUAGACACACCAGGAGUAAACAACAUAGCCGAAACGUAUUUUGUCUCGCAAGGUUGUUUACUAAUAUUGAAAGCGAUAACGCUCAAUUGAUGCCUCUGCGCAAAUCGACGUACUUCCAUCUGCUAGCAUUGAAACUUCGGUGCUAGCUAUAGUAACUCACGGCCAUCUGGAAUUACCCCGUCCUAUACACGUUCUAGAAACAGCUGGAGACAAUCAAUUGGCAAGUCCAGGCCACACAAUCGUUGAGGUCAGAGAUACACUGCACUCGAAACAAUCAAGGCUCAAACUUUUAUUGGUAAACAAAAACACGCUGGCUUGUUCGAACACAACCAGAGACUAUUAAACAAGAAUACAGUCAAUUAAAACGGUAAUCCAGAUUGAUAUUAUGUGCUGAAUAAUGCUUAGAAUCAACUUCCCUCUGAGAGAAUACAGAAAUUGUGUUUUGCUCUUUCGCAGACGUCCGUCUUAGAGGCUCUAAAGUGUUUUCUAGCAUUUAAAAUCCAUUGCGUUGCCGACGCCUGCAGAUGCAUAAACUAGUUCACAGCUAAAUUUAUCUAAUGUUUAUUUUUUUUUUUUUAUCCGAGGGAACUCGGUAAUGUUGCCAUUAUACCAAAAUAGAGUACUGAAUAUUUCGUUACAAAUUUUGUUAAAAUAACAACGAUCGCCGACAACUGGAUAAAAUUGUAUGAAAUAAUUCCUCAAGUCAAAAUCACUUGGCCAUACGUGCGAUCAAUUACCACUUAAUCCCCAUAAUGCGUUUACCCACGACUAACAGGUGUCGUGUCAACAAAACAGUCUAAGGUGUGACAUUUACGCCAGUUCCUAUUUCGCAGCUCGGUUUUUUCUAUUCUUGUUCGCCCCCCUGUGGCAAUAUACUUAUUAAUCCCUCUUUUUCACUCGACACUCCCGUAAAUUAACUGCACUCGUUUCACACUCCAAAUUUGACAACUUUCCCAUCGUCUGUAUCCAGCGCGCGCUCGUCGUUUCAAAUCUCAUUUCUACCUUCCUCUGUCCUCCGCCACCCGGCCCACUGAUCUGAGCACCCCUUUUCGCCAUCACCCACUGCGCGCGGACCGCCCGUAUCACCCGCACUUUAAACAUCUCCAGCAAGAUCAGCGUCGUUCGCCAUGUUCUUCAAGAAUCAUCACCGUCACCAUCAUCGGCAUCAUCAUCAUCGUCAUCGUCAUCAUCAUCACUGGUAGCAGCGGCAGCAGCAGCAGCGGUACGAUCGACACCGUCGUAUCGUCUGGGCUGUGUCGACUGUGAGCGAGCGAGCGAGCGAGCAAAGAGCUGCCGUUGCGGCCGCCACCGUAGUGAAAAGACGGAAGGAGCUCCCUCCAGCCAGUCGAACAUCGCCGCCACCGCGGCCGCUACAGCAAGUAAGCCGAUAAACGAAAAAGAAGAUCCGAGCAGAUCUUACGCUUUGUUCUCUCCGGCUCUUCGGCACGACGGCAGGCAGGCAGGCAGGCAGGCAGGCAGGCAGGCAGGCAGACAGGCAAGCAAGCACGAGUCACUGGCUGAAGUAGGCAAUAGACAAACGGACGACGAGCGAAAGCUAACGGCAGCAGUUAAGUUUUGCUUGUAGUGGCAGCAGUCGUACGUAACAAUCGUAGCUUAAUGUCCGUCUGCUGCUGCUGCUGCUGUUGCUGCUGCUGCUGCUGCUGCUGCUGUGGGUUUGAUGUUGUGUCCCAUUGCUCGUGCUGCAGGCCGGUAUCUUUUUCUGUGAUGAUGAGUUUUGUGGCAGCCGCUGCCGCUGGUGCUGCUCGCCAUCGAUGAAGCGUCGGUGGUCACUACUUCUGCGACUGCAACGAUAGCGACAACAACAAGCGAUUCAAGCCGCUGUGAAUGUGUGUGCGUGUGCUAUAAGAAAAAGAAGUGGCUUAUUCAGCGAAGCUGCCAUCAGUUGUUGUUAUGUAAAACGAAAACAGUUACAUAAUAAUAAUCAUAUUAGUAACAAUAAUUGUCAUUCAUUAUAUAGAUAUGAUAUUUGACGACGAGUGACACACAAGACAUAAUCAGAAGUGCCGUGCUAUAGCCAAGUGCCGUUAUCCUUUCGAGAAGAAGCGGUAGGAGAAACAGCGACGAAGACUUAUUGAAGUGCGACCAAGUAAAGAAAAGGUGAUAUAAUACUACUGUUGGUUGUCAAGUUAUAAUCGUUAUCGCUAUCGUACCCAUUAUCGGCAUCGCUGCUUCUGUGUGAUCAGUUUUUUUCGUCAUCCCGGUGCCAUUUUUGUCACUUGUGUGAGUAUAUAUAUACGCACAUAUAUAUUAUACAUAUAUGUGUAUGUAUAUAUAUAUAUAAAUACGCGUUCAGACGUGUGUGCGUGCGUGUAGCAAGCGCAUAAGCAAAGCGAUAGUCUGGUGGUAACUACAACUUCAAUUAUACGAGGCACGAGUACUAGCCAAACAGAAAAAGACUGUCAGUACAUGGCUACGAAGUAGUUGUGCCUGUGUGUCAGUGAGAAGUGCCUGUUUUCCGGUAAUUUCAGGCUCGUUUUCUCUUCGGUCUCCUGACCGGCCACACUAGAACGUUGGGUGCAAGUGGGAUUUUGUCAACUGUGUCCUUGAUUAUUCUAUGAUGUGUAAGAACAUGUGGAAACGUGAGCAGGUAUUUGUGUGUGUCUAAUGAUCGAUCAUCGACAGCAACCGACUAACGCUCUAAAGGGUUGUACGAGUAUGAUAGCUGGACAGUUUUCAAAUCGAAGUGUUCCUCCACAGACCGUUAUGUACCAAGCGGAUUGUUGUUGUGUAUAGCAAAUACACGGUGUUGAGCGGCAGCGCGUACCGCGUCAGCCGUAAUUGUGACGCUGGCGACGAUUGACAUUGUAAAAAACCUUUUCGGGCCUACGCAUACGGCAACAAACUGGACGUUUCGUCGUCAUCUUCAUCGUCACCGUGAUCCUCAUCGUCAUCGCCGUCGCCGUCGACGUCGUCGUCGUCGUCGCUGUCGUCAUCGUCGUCCUCGUCGUUGUCGUGAGGCUUGCGGCACCUGUCUCAAAGAGGCAAUACGCAAAACUGGAAUGUGAGACUAUAGCACUGAGAGUGGGUGUCUAUCACGGGACUGAUCUGCCCAGGUCUUCGAGAGUGGCGACGAAGGCUGAGUGUCAAUGUUUCAUGUUGGAGCAGGAAGCAACAACAGAUAGAGACAGGCAGAAUAAAAGCCGGAAAAUAAUUUAGAAGAAUAAAUGAGGCAAGCAAAAGAGCGCUUGCAGCAGACAAAGCUCAGGUGCCCUUGCUAUCCGAGCACGUCUAACUACAGAUGGUUUGAGUGCGCCGCAGCCAUCCGAAGUGAAGAUCGAGUUCUCCUGCUAAUUUAGUCAGCAAAAAGCCCACACCGACCCACAACCAGUUUGACCACUGAUCUGUUUAUGACCAUUAAUGGUUUACUGAUGGUCGCUCUUGCUAAGCUGAUCUGACUCUGCUCUGUACCCAUGUUCAGUGCAAUGCGGCGUCCUAUGCAGUGUGGUCUGUAAGCGACUCCGGGAUUUGUACCAGCUGCAGUGCCCUAUACAAGUCCGUAACCAUCGUGGUAGAAGGGUUAGCGAGGAACGCACCGUAUGCUGUGUGGAGCAGGGUCAUGAUUGGCCAGCAGACGCCACGACCGCGUAUCCCGCAUCUCCUUGCACCUGAUUCAGGACUCUCAUCGUCAGCAGGACCUCCUGUCGCUCGACAUUGGUCGGGACCACCCGUCAACGAAGCGGACCGGGUGUCGGUGGUGGCUAUAGCCACAUCGAACCAGCAGCUUGCUGGUGCUUUGAAUUUUUUCAUCCCCCCAUACGAUUGUGCCCCACGUGACGGCUGCUGUAUUAGCUGUUGUUGAGGGGA